rnacentral:rRNA from 1 species
AGCGAACGCUGGCGGCAGGCCUAACACAUGCAAGUCGAACGAACUCUUCGGAGUUAGUGGCGGACGGGUGAGUAACACGUAGGAACGUGCCUUUUGGUUCGGAAUAACUCAGGGAAACUUGUGCUAAUACCGAAUGUGCCCUUCGGGGGAAAGAUUUAUCGCCAUUAGAGCGGCCCGCGUCUGAUUAGCUAGUUGGUGAGGUAACGGCUCACCAAGGCGACGAUCAGUAGCUGGUCUGAGAGGAUGACCAGCCACACUGGGACUGAGACACGGCCCAGACUCCUACGGGAGGCAGCAGUGGGGAAUCUUGCGCAAUGGGCGAAAGCCUGACGCAGCCAUGCCGCGUGAAUGAUGAAGGUCUUAGGAUUGUAAAAUUCUUUCACCGGGGACGAUAAUGACGGUACCCGGAGAAGAAGCCCCGGCUAACUUCGUG